rnacentral:rRNA from 1 species
UUAAGCGACUAAGCGUACACGGUGGAUGCCCUGGCAGUCAGAGGCGAUGAAGGACGUGCUAAUCUGCGAUAAGCGUCGGUAAGGUGAUAUGAACCGUUAUAACCGGCGAUUUCCGAAUGGGGAAACCCAGUGUGUUUCGACACACUAUCAUUAACUGAAUCCAUAGGUUAAUGAGGCGAACCGGGGGAACUGAAACAUCUAAGUACCCCGAGGAAAAGAAAUCAACCGAGAUUCCCCCAGUAGCGGCGAGCGAACGGGGAGCAGCCCAGAGCCUGAAUCAGUGUGUGUGUUAGUGGAAGCGUCUGGAAAGGCGCGCGAUACAGGGUGACAGCCCCGUACACAAAAAUGCACAUGCUGUGAGCUCGAUGAGUAGGGCGGGACACGUGGUAUCCUGUCUGAAUAUGGGGGGACCAUCCUCCAAGGCUAAAUACUCCUGACUGACCGAUAGUGAACCAGUACCGUGAGGGAAAGGCGAAAAGAACCCCGGACGAGGGGAGUGAAAAAGAACCUGAAACCGUGUACGUACAAGCAGUGGGAGCACGCUUAGGCGUGUGACUGCGUACCUUUUGUAUAAUGGGUCAGCGACUUAUAUUCUGUAGCAAGGUUAACCGAAUAGGGGAGCCGAAGGGAAACCGAGUCUUAACUGGGCGUUAAGUUGCAGGGUAUAGACCCGAAACCCGGUGAUCUAGCCAUGGGCAGGUUGAAGGUUGGGUAACACUAACUGGAGGACCGAACCGACUAAUGUUGAAAAAUUAGCGGAUGACUUGUGGCUGGGGGUGAAAGGCCAAUCAAACCGGGAGAUAGCUGGUUCUCCCCGAAAGCUAUUUAGGUAGCGCCUCGUGAAUUCAUCUCCGGGGGUAGAGCACUGUUUCGGCAAGGGGGUCAUCCCGACUUACCAACCCGAUGCAAACUGCGAAUACCGGAGAAUGUUAUCACGGGAGACACACGGCGGGUGCUAACGUCCGUCGUGAAGAGGGAAACAACCCAGACCGCCAGCUAAGGUCCCAAAGUCAUGGUUAAGUGGGAAACGAUGUGGGAAGGCCCAGACAGCCAGGAUGUUGGCUUAGAAGCAGCCAUCAUUUAAAGAAAGCGUAAUAGCUCACUGGUCGAGUCGGCCUGCGCGGAAGAUGUAACGGGGCUAAACCAUGCACCGAAGCUGCGGCAGCGACGCUUAUGCGUUGUUGGGUAGGGGAGCGUUCUGUAAGCCUGCGAAGGUGUGCUGUGAGGCAUGCUGGAGGUAUCAGAAGUGCGAAUGCUGACAUAAGUAACGAUAAAGCGGGUGAAAAGCCCGCUCGCCGGAAGACCAAGGGUUCCUGUCCAACGUUAAUCGGGGCAGGGUGAGUCGACCCCUAAGGCGAGGCCGAAAGGCGUAGUCGAUGGGAAACAGGUUAAUAUUCCUGUACUUGGUGUUACUGCGAAGGGGGGACGGAGAAGGCUAUGUUGGCCGGGCGACGGUUGUCCCGGUUUAAGCGUGUAGGCUGGUUUUCCAGGCAAAUCCGGAAAAUCAAGGCUGAGGCGUGAUGACGAGGCACUACGGUGCUGAAGCAACAAAUGCCCUGCUUCCAGGAAAAGCCUCUAAGCAUCAGGUAACAUCAAAUCGUACCCCAAACCGACACAGGUGGUCAGGUAGAGAAUACCAAGGCGCUUGAGAGAACUCGGGUGAAGGAACUAGGCAAAAUGGUGCCGUAACUUCGGGAGAAGGCACGCUGAUAUGUAGGUGAAGUCCCUUGCGGAUGGAGCUGAAAUCAGUCGAAGAUACCAGCUGGCUGCAACUGUUUAUUAAAAACACAGCACUGUGCAAACACGAAAGUGGACGUAUACGGUGUGACGCCUGCCCGGUGCCGGAAGGUUAAUUGAUGGGGUCAGCGCAAGCGAAGCUCUUGAUCGAAGCCCCGGUAAACGGCGGCCGUAACUAUAACGGUCCUAAGGUAGCGAAAUUCCUUGUCGGGUAAGUUCCGACCUGCACGAAUGGCGUAAUGAUGGCCAGGCUGUCUCCACCCGAGACUCAGUGAAAUUGAACUCGCUGUGAAGAUGCAGUGUACCCGCGGCAAGACGGAAAGACCCCGUGAACCUUUACUAUAGCUUGACACUGAACAUUGAGCCUUGAUGUGUAGGAUAGGUGGGAGGCUUUGAAGUGUGGACGCCAGUCUGCAUGGAGCCGACCUUGAAAUACCACCCUUUAAUGUUUGAUGUUCUAACGUUGACCCGUGAUCCGGGUUGCGGACAGUGUCUGGUGGGUAGUUUGACUGGGGCGGUCUCCUCCUAAAGAGUAACGGAGGAGCACGAAGGUUGGCUAAUCCUGGUCGGACAUCAGGAGGUUAGUGCAAUGGCAUAAGCCAGCUUGACUGCGAGCGUGACGGCGCGAGCAGGUGCGAAAGCAGGUCAUAGUGAUCCGGUGGUUCUGAAUGGAAGGGCCAUCGCUCAACGGAUAAAAGGUACUCCGGGGAUAACAGGCUGAUACCGCCCAAGAGUUCAUAUCGACGGCGGUGUUUGGCACCUCGAUGUCGGCUCAUCACAUCCUGGGGCUGAAGUAGGUCCCAAGGGUAUGGCUGUUCGCCAUUUAAAGUGGUACGCGAGCUGGGUUUAGAACGUCGUGAGACAGUUCGGUCCCUAUCUGCCGUGGGCGCUGGAGAACUGAGGGGGGCUGCUCCUAGUACGAGAGGACCGGAGUGGACGCAUCACUGGUGUUCGGGUUGUCAUGCCAAUGGCACUGCCCGGUAGCUAAAUGCGGAAGAGAUAAGUGCUGAAAGCAUCUAAGCACGAAACUUGCCCCGAGAUGAGUUCUCCCUGACUCCUUGAGAGUCCUGAAGGAACGUUGAAGACGACGACGUUGAUAGGCCGGGUGUGUAAGCGCAGCGAUGCGUUGAGCUAACCGGUACUAAUGAACCGUGAGGCUUAACCUU